UUUUAGCCAAUCGGUGGCGCUCGGUAGCAUAUAAAAAACGGAAGCAUGCGUGCCACCUUGGAUACGUCAUUUGUACUAGACGGUGCGUCGUUAACACGCUGUUGUCGAAGGAACCGUAUGUGGAUUCCGGUGUCGGGACUGUGAUUUCCGAGUGUGCUUUCACUUUCGAUUGCUAUUGCCGGCCUUAUCCUUCGUUUACGGGGUCGUUGUCAUUAUUGUACGAACCGGAUGUGGACAUCAGAGCAUGUAUGGGAUGUAUGUGGGUAAAUGCUUAACAGCUUGCAGCUAGCUGAGUCAUGUAUUUCCAAAGCACGGGCGUAUAUUAGAACCCUGUGGAUUUCCUUUUUUUAUGUUUUAGUCAUGAGAGAUGCAGCCACCGGGUUGGGAUUUUCCUGUUUUAAUCCCCUACGGAAAGCUUCCUUUUCAAGUAUUCGACUAUUGGUUUCCCAGGAAGGCCGUAAUUUUACUCUAGUCCACUCUGGUCGGCCGUGCGGUUCUGUUUCCAAUAUGGGGAUUCAGCUAACCGUUUAGUUUAUUUUUGUAUAUUUUUUUCUGUAUUUUUAAUUCUGUUUUGGGUUUGAUUGAACACUUGUUUUCAAACCAUUUUGUUUAUUUUUCUUUUGCAUUUUUUUUGUUCGGCUUGUUGUGGAUGAGGCCCUGCGAUGGACUGGCGACCUGUCCAGGGUGUACCCCUGCCUUUCGCUCUGUGUGCUGGGAUAGGCUCCAGCAGACCCCCGUGACCCUAGGAGUCCUAGGAAUAAGCGGGUAUAGACAAUGAAUGAAUGAAUGUAUGUUGUGGAUGAUUUGAGCGGGUUUAUAGAUGUUGUGUUGUAUUUGUUGUACAUUUGGUUAGCUGAGUCUGAUCGACCAAGCUAAAGGUUACUUCAUUGCUCUGUCCGUUGACGUGUAUCUUCUUUGUCUUAGCAGGGCCUGGGAACUUGGGGUAGAGGACUAGUCCAUCCUUGGUGGUGGUGUUUUUCUCACCGUGUGUUGUGAUUAUCUUCACGUGAUGUGGGGACAUUUAGGCUUUUGUUGUUGUUUAUGAUGCCGAUGAAACAAAAACGUUAAAGAGAAAAAUGACUGUGGAAGCACUGUUACACACGAGUUACCUACUCAAAUGGAAAUACUUCCAACAUGACUGCACAUCUACGGCGACUUUACUGUCAUCAUGGAUGAAAGGAAAGAAUGGAGAUGCGAGUUGGUUGAUUCAGUAAAUUAGGUCAGGCUUAUCAUAUUUCCAUGAACACUCUGUGUAGUAUGAAAACGAGUUGACUUUAAACUGCACAUUUUCUCUCAGCAAUGUAUGACAAGCAGACUCUGGAUACUAGUUUAAUUUUAGACUCGAUAUGAUCAUAACUCAAUCGUUUUCAUAUCCGAGGACAGAUGAGGUGAAUAGUUAGGGAAUGUAUCCAUGAAUGGAUAGAUGGAGGACAAUGUUUAUAUUUUUUUUUGUUUGUGCAAUUGUGUGCCAAUCUUGCAUCCUGUGUACCAAAUAAUUAGUGUAUCAAUGUUUGGAUUACAGAUGGUUACUUCCUACCCUGCUAUAAUACAGUGUUGGAGGCAUAAAAAUGAUCUAUUUUAGGUAUUUGUGAUGCGCAAAAAAUUAGCACCAGGACUGUAAAUAUUUUAAUUUGUUCGUUAACUAAGAGUGGUUGUUUGCAUGAGAGACAUUCAUUAAAGUAAUGAUCAACAUGUUCAUAUAAUUUAUAAAAAUUAUAAAAUUAUUUUUGCUAAAAUAGUGAUUCAACACACACAGUUCAUAAAAGCUUUUGGUGGAUGUCUCUGACACAGGUCACAUGUUUGUGAUACGUUAUGGCAGGGACUGUUCAAGUCUGAAGGAUUUUUGGAUUUUGAACUGAGUGCAUGAACAUUUUGUUCUGCUUGAUCAAAAACAGUCAGAAUCAAAUAUGUGACAUGUAUAUUAGCUAGCAUCAACUUAUCGGCCAUUUUCAAAUCUGAGAUAAAAUUAGUCUGAACCCUGUUGAUUUUCAGUGUGAGACAUUUUUACAGUUUUCUGAGAAUUUUAGUGGUUGAAGAUGAGACAUUUUAAUUUUAGAUGCUUAUGUACCAUCACCUGGGGCAUCUCAGAGAGCAGGAACAGGUUCGAACCAGUUACUUUGAAGAUGUGUGUGGAAAAAAAUAAACUUUUUUUUUUUUCUUUUUUACAAAUGUAUUGCUCGUAGUAAGCUAGGUAAAAGCAAAAUACAAAUUCUUAAAGCCCUGAGUGUCUACAUUCAAAUGAGUGUAGUGUGACAUGAGAAAGACGGCGACUGUUGAAAAUGUAAACAAGAAAAACAGGAAGAAAUUGAAUUUUUGGCCUCUGAUGAAAACAGAGAUAAAGAAUUCAUCUAUGCUGGUGGAAUCCGAUUAAAGCUGGGUAUGCUAUGCAGUGCAGUACUCUGAGGAAGGGUAGUGGACAAGUAGGUAGUGUUGAGAGUUGAACAUACGAUGCAUUGUUUCAAGGAGGUAGUAGUUUUUUCUUAUGGAUUUGUUUUAAUAGUGAAAUUCUUUUGUUUCUAGAAAUUGUUGCCUUAUUAUCACAAGCAAAAGUAAUGGAUAUCAGGUGUUGUCUUUUUUUACAGGCAAUGUUGAUGGUUAUUUUAAAUGUUUUUUAGUACAAUAUAUUAAGACUGUGUUUUGCCUUACAUGGAUUACUGUUUGUUGUUUAAUUUUCCUGGUACUUGUUUAAUCUUGUGUUUAGAAAUGUUUGGUGGCAGAGAAUUUAGACCACGAAAAACUGAGCUGAACAUAACUACAUAACAUGCUACAUAACACCGACUUGUUUCUUUUCCUUUACAUGACUUACUGUACAUUUGACUUUAUUCUUUGGUUUCUUUUAGGUUUUUUAAACCAGCAGUGGCCUCUGGGGUGUCCUCACUGUGUAGAUGGCGGUGGUGGUGGUUGGGAUCAUGCUGUGGUUUGGUCACUUUAUACUUUGGUUUCCUUUUCUGUAGGUUUGCAAUGUGAAUGCGGUGACGGAACUCUCCAUCUCCUUGUCCUCACAAUAUAGCUAACCGGUGGCCAUCUGCGGUUUUGUUUUUGUUAAUUUAUCAUUUAUUUUUAUUUUCAUAGACUGACAGCUUUUAAUUAAUUGUGACUUGGACUAUAGGUGGUCCUAUUUAGAACUUUAUACAUGUUGUGAUAAAUAUCAGUGGAUUUUAUCCCGUAUUUGGCACAUCCUCAGCUACAUAUGACAUUAUUCUGCUUUUUUUAUUCAAUUUAGAUUGAGUUAAGCGUUAAUGCUGUAACUUGAGAACUAAUAAUCUGCUGGGAUGG